GGGCGUUAAGUUGCAGGGUAUAGACCCGAAACCCGGUGAUCUAGCCAUGGGCAGGUUGAAGGUUGGGUAACACUAACUGGAGGACCGAACCGACUAAUGUUGAAAAAUUAGCGGAUGACCUGUGGCUGGGGGUGAAAGGCCAAUCAAACCGGGAGAUAGCUGGUUCUCCCCGAAAGCUAUUUAGGUAGCGCCUCGUGAAUUCAUCUCCGGGGGUAGAGCACUGUUUCGGCUAGGGGGCCAUCCCGGCUUACCAACCCGAUGCAAACUGCGAAUACCGGAGAAUGUUAUCACGGGAGACACACGGCGGGUGCUAACGUCCGUCGUGAAGAGGGAAACAACCCAGACCGCCAGCUAAGGUCCCAAAGUCAUGGUUAAGUGGGAAACGAUGUGGGAAGGCCCAGACAGCCAGGAUGUUGGCUUAGAAGCAGCCAUCAUUUAAAGAAAGCGUAAUAGCUCACUGGUCGAGUCGGCCUGCGCGGAAGAUGUAACGGGGCUAAACCAUGCACCGAAGCUGCGGCAGCGACACUGUGUGUUGUUGGGUAGGGGAGCGUUCUGUAAGCCUGUGAAGGUGUGUCGUGAGGCAUGCUGGAGGUAUCAGAAGUGCGAAUGCUGACAUAAGUAACGAUAAAGCGGGUGAAAAGCCCGCUCGCCGGAAGACCAAGGGUUCCUGUCCAACGUUAAUCGGGGCAGGGUGAGUCGACCCCUAAGGCGAGGCCGAAAGGCGUAGUCGAUGGGAAACGGGUUAAUAUUCCCGUACUUGGUGUUACUGCGAAGGGGGGACGGAGAAGGCUAUGUUGGCCGGGCGACGGUUGUCCCGGUUUAAGCGUGUAGGUGUGUGUUCCAGGUAAAUCCGGUUCACUUUAACACUGAGGCGUGACGACGAGGCACUACGGUGCUGAAGCAACAAAUGCCCUGCUUCCAGGAAAAGCCUCUAAGCAUCAGGUAACAUCAAAUCGUACCCCAAACCGACACAGGUGGUCAGGUAGAGAAUACCAAGGCGCUUGAGAGAACUCGGGUGAAGGAACUAGGCAAAAUGGUGCCGUAACUUCGGGAGAAGGCACGCUGACACGUAGGUGAAGUGAUUUACUCAUGGAGCUGAAGUCAGUCGAAGAUACCAGCUGGCUGCAACUGUUUAUUAAAAACACAGCACUGUGCAAACACGAAAGUGGACGUAUACGGUGUGACGCCUGCCCGGUGCCGGAAGGUUAAUUGAUGGGGUCAGCGCAAGCGAAGCUCCUGAUCGAAGCCCCGGUAAACGGCGGCCGUAACUAUAACGGUCCUAAGGUAGCGAAAUUCCUUGUCGGGUAAGUUCCGACCUGCACGAAUGGCGUAAUGAUGGCCAGGCUGUCUCCACCCGAGACUCAGUGAAAUUGAACUCGCUGUGAAGAUGCAGUGUACCCGCGGCAAGACGGAAAGACCCCGUGAACCUUUACUAUAGCUUGACACUGAACAUUGAGCCUUGAUGUGUAGGAUAGGUGGGAGGCUUUGAAGUGUGGACGCCAGUCUGCAUGGAGCCGACCUUGAAAUACCACCCUUUAAUGUUUGAUGUUCUAACGUGGACCCGUUACCCGGGUUGCGGACAGUGUCUGGUGGGUAGUUUGACUGGGGCGGUCUCCUCCUAAAGAGUAACGGAGGAGCACGAAGGUUGGCUAAUCCUGGUCGGACAUCAGGAGGUUAGUGCAAUGGCAUAAGCCAGCUUGACUGCGAGCGUGACGGCGCGAGCAGGUGCGAAAGCAGGUCAUAGUGAUCCGGUGGUUCUGAAUGGAAGGGCCAUCGCUCAACGGAUAAAAGGUACUCCGGGGAUAACAGGCUGAUACCGCCCAAGAGUUCAUAUCGACGGCGGUGUUUGGCACCUCGAUGUCGGCUCAUCACAUCCUGGGGCUGAAGUAGGUCCCAAGGGUAUGGCUGUUCGCCAUUUAAAGUGGUACGCGAGCUGGGUUUAGAACGUCGUGAGACAGUUCGGUCCCUAUCUGCCGUGGGCGCUGGAGAACUGAGGGGGGCUGCUCCUAGUACGAGAGGACCGGAGUGGACGCAUCACUGGUGUUCGGGUUGUCAUGCCAAUGGCACUGCCCGGUAGCUAAAUGCGGAAGAGAUAAGUGCUGAAAGCAUCUAAGCACGAAACUUGCCCCGAGAUGAGUUCUCCCUGAGACUU
rnacentral:rRNA from 3 species